AUGGCUGGGGUGCCGGGCGAUCUAGCGGCUCGUCCUGCCCUUGAUUUCUGCAUGGUGGCCUCCACUAGAGAGACUGAGCGAUUGCGUGAGCUUUUCACUGCUCGCUCGGUUGUCGCCUGGGUUGAAGAAGGGGAAAGGGUGGAGGCGAGCACAUUUGCUGAUGAUGUGCGCACUGCAUUCCGCAUCCGCCACUCUGAUAUCCAAGUCACGAAGUUCCAUCCUGAAGAUUUCUUUCUCACGCUCACUAAUCAUAGUGAUCGGGAGGCCAUCCUGCAAGAACCAAGACUGAUGCUGAGAAAUGGCCGUGUGUAUCGCUUCCGUCCAUGGGACGAGAGGCGCGGUGCUGAAUGCGUCGACGUUCGCUUCAGGGUCAGAGUAUAUGUGGAAGGAAUCCCCAUGCAUGCAAGAACAGAUGCAAUUGCGGCAAAGAUCAUCGCCAAGAAGAGCUCCAUCCACUACAUUGAAGAAUACUCAAGGCACCCGAGCUCUAUCCCACGAGCAACAAGGUUGACAAUCACGUCAGCAGACGAGGAGGGGCUCCCAGUUGACACUCCCUUCCCGGAGCUGGAAGCUGUGCAUCCUGCCCCUUCUGACACAAAAAAGGUCUCACCUAUCCUGUUCUUAUUCAUAUUGACACUUUGCAAGACCUGGUGUCCCGACAGGUCCGCUGCUUCCAAAGCAGGGAGCUGGACAGGGGCGAUCGCCCGCAGUACAAUCAAGACAAUAGAGGGCGGCAGAGAAGCAGAGCUACAGACGAGAGCUGAAGCCGAAGCCGCCAUCUCUCGCGCUCUGCAAUCAAGAGAGUCUACCCCCGUGGCUAAGGAGAAGGAGAUUGUGCAGGUCCAGUCCCCCUGCAAAACCCCUCCUCCUUACCGAAAUGAUAGCCCUGAUAGGGGUUCGGCCUGCAACAGAAUUUCUUCCUCCGUGACACCUGCUGAUCUGACUUUUUCUUCGCAGGAUUCGGGUGCGAUCCUCAACUUGCUGGAGAAACACCUGGAUCCCAUGCUCCAUGAAGCUUCCAUCCGCAACAUCGUCUACUCUCCAGACACUUCCUCGUCGACACUUGCUUCCCCUGUUUUC
rnacentral:lncRNA from 1 species